GAUAAACGCUAGCGGCAGGCCUAACACAUGCAAGUCGAGGGGCAGCGGAAGAAUUACUUCGGUAGUUCUGCCGGCGACCGGCGCACGGGUGCGUAACGCGUAUGCAACCUACCUUCAACAGGGGGAUAAUCCGAAGAAAUUUGGUCUAAUACCCCAUAAUAUUCAGAGAGGCAUCUUUUUGAGUUGAAAACUCCGGUGGUUGAAGAUGGGCAUGCGUUGUAUUAGCUGGAUGGUGAGGUAACGGCUCACCAUGGCGAUGAUACAUAGGGGGACUGAGAGGUUUUCCCCCCACACUGGUACUGAGACACGGACCAG
rnacentral:rRNA from 1 species